rnacentral:rRNA from 1 species
GCAGUCGAACGGCAGCACGGAGCUUGCUCUGGUGGCGAGUGGCGAACGGGUGAGUAAUAUAUCGGAACGUACCCUAGAGUGGGGGAUAACGUAGCGAAAGUUACGCUAAUACCGCAUACGAUCUAAGGAUGAAAGUGGGGGAUCGCAAGACCUCAUGCUCGUGGAGCGGCCGAUAUCUGAUUAGCUAGUUGGUAGGGUAAAAGCCUACCAAGGCAUCGAUCAGUAGCUGGUCUGAGAGGACGACCAGCCACACUGGAACUGAGACACGGUCCAGACUCCUACGGGAGGCAGCAGUGGGGAAUUUUGGACAAUGGGCGAAAGCCUGAUCCAGCAAUGCCGCGUGAGUGAAGAAGGCCUUCGGGUUGUAAAGCUCUUUUGUCAGGGAAGAAACGGUGAGAGCUAAUAUCUUUUGCUAAUGACGGUACCUGAAGAAUAAGCACCGGCUAACUACGUGCCAGCAGCCGCGGUAAUACGUAGGGUGCAAGCGUUAAUCGGAAUUACUGGGCGUAAAGCGUGCGCAGGCGGUUUUGUAAGUCUGAUGUGAAAUCCCCGGGCUCAACCUGGGAAUUGCAUUGGAGACUGCAAGGCUAGAAUCUGGCAGA